rnacentral:rRNA from 1 species
UACGGAGGGAGCAAGCGUUACUCGGAAUUAUUGGGCGUAAAGAGCUCGUAGGCGGUUUGUCGCGUCUGCCGUGAAAGUCCGGGGCUCAACUCCGGAUCUGCGGUGGGUACGGGCAGACUAGAGUGCAGUAGGGGAGACUGGAAUUCCUGGUGUAGCGGUGAAAUGCGCAGAUAUCAGGAGGAACACCGAUGGCGAAGGCAGGUCUCUGGGCUGUAACUGACGCUGAGGAGCGAAAGUAUGGGGAGCGAACAGG